CCCUAGGUGGAAAAUGCAAAUGCAAAUUUAAUCGCAAAGCCAGCCGGCGGCCGAAUGAUGCCCCUCACCUCAUCACCCCCGGCAGCGCCAGUAACAGCUGAACCACGAUGGUCCCGGUGCCAGGUCUCGCCCGGGGCGCUGGCUCCUUGCUGGAUUGUCCCAUCCCCCGAUCAGGGAAGCAGGAGUGGGAGAAGUUUUUUAACUGAAUUUUCCACUCUGUGGAAUAAAAGUCUCCUGACCUUGAAA